rnacentral:rRNA from 1 species
AUCUCGCGUCAAGGGAAUUGACGAAAAGGACAUUACAAAUUGAAUAGAGAAAGAAGCGGGAAACUGAUAUUAAUACAUAUCAAUUCCAUAAGUUAAUUUGAGUGUGUAACCUUUUUAGGUUAAUAUAUAUUUUGUAUGAAGAGUUUGAUCCUGGCUCAGGAUGAACGCUGACAGAAUGCUUUACACAUGCAAGUCUACUCAAACAGUUCUUCGGAACUUAUUAGGGUGGCGGACGGGUGAGUAACGCGUAAAGAACUUGCCUCAUAGUCUGGGACAACAGUUGGAAACGACUGCUAAUACUAGAUAUUAUGAAUGAUUGGCAUCUUUUAUUCAUGAAAGCUAUAUGCGCUAUGAGAGAGCUUUGCGUCCUAUUAGCUAGUUGGUGAGGUAACGGCUCACCAAGGCGACGAUAGGUAGCCGGCCUGAGAGGGUGAACGGCCACAAGGGGACUGAGACACGGCCCUUACUCCUACGGGAGGCAGCAGUGGGGAAUAUUGGACAAUGGACCAAAAGUCUGAUCCAGCAAUUCUGUGUGCACGAUGAAGGUCUUCGGAUUGUAAAGUGCUUUCAGUAGGGAAGAAGAAUGUGACGGUACCUACAGAAGAAGCGACGGCUAAAUACGUGCCAGCAGCCGCGGUAAUACGUAUGUCGCAAGCGUUAUCCGGAAUUAUUGGGCAUAAAGGGCGUCUAGGUGGUUUAUUAAGUCUGAUGUGAAAAUGCGGAGCUCAACUCCGUAUUGCGUUGGAAACUGAUUUACUAGAGUCUUGGAGAGGUGGGCGGAACUACAAGUGUAGAGGUGAAAUUCGUAGAUAUUUGUAGGAAUGCCGAUGACGAAGGUAGCUCACUGGACAAGUACUGACACUAAAGCGCGAAAGCUAGGGGAGCAAACAGGAUUAGAUACCCUGGUAGUCCUAGCUGUAAACGAUGAUCACUGGGUGUGGGGGGUCGAACCUCUGUGCCGAAGUUAAUGCGAUAAGUGAUCCGCCUGGGGAGUACGCUCGCAAGAGUGAAACUCAAAGGAAUUGACGGGGACCCGCACAAGCGGUGGAGCAUGUGGUUUAAUUCGACGCAACGCGAGGAACCUUACCAGUCCUUGACAUCCUAAGAACUUAGCAGAGAUGCUUUGGUGCCUCUUCGGAGGAACUUAGUGACAGGUGGUGCAUGGCUGUCGUCAGCUCGUGUCGUGAGAUGUUGGGUUAAGUCCCGCAACGAGCGCAACCCCUAUUGCUAGUUACCAUCAUUAAGUUGGGGACUCUAGCGAGACUGCCUGCGACGAGCAGGAGGAAGGUGGGGAUGACGUCAAGUCAUCAUGCCCCUUAUGGACUGGGCUACACACGUGCUACAAUGGGCGGUACAAAGAGAAGCAAGCUGGUGACAGUAAGCAAAUCUCAAAAAUCCGCUCUCAGUUCGGAUUGUAGUCUGCAACUCGACUACAUGAAGUUGGAAUCGCUAGUAAUCGCGAAUCAGCAAUGUCGCGGUGAAUACGUUCUCGGGUCUUGUACACACCGCCCGUCACACCACGAGAGUUUGUUGCACCUGAAGUAAACGGCCUAACCUUCGGGAGGGAGUUUCCUAAGGUGUGAUAGAUGAUUGGGGUGAAGUCGUAACAAGGUAUCCGUACCGGAAGGUGUGGAUGGAUCACCUCCUUUCUAAGGAGUUUUGCUUCUUUCUCUAUUUUAUUUG